rnacentral:rRNA from 1 species
CCGAGAGGCGUAGUCGAUGGGAAACAGGUUAAUAUUCCUGUACUUGGUGUUACUGCGAAGGGGGGACGGAGAAGGCUAUGUUGGCCGGGCGACGGUUGUCCCGGUUUAAGCGUGUAGGCUGGUUUUCCAGGCAAAUCCGGAAAAUCAAGGCUGAGGCGUGAUGACGAGGCACUACGGUGCUGAAGCAACAAAUGCCCUGCUUCCAGGAAAAGCCUCUAAGCAUCAGGUAACAUCAAAUCGUACCCCAAACCGACACUGG